CUUUCACAUUGUUGGACUCAUUCUCAUUCUCAGCUGUUUAAGCCCCUGUGGAAAUCUUCAUCUGCUCUUUGGUCCCUUCCUGGCUUCCAUCCCUCAUCUAGCUGCCUAACCCCUCUAAGUGAAGACCUUUGAAAGACAGGGCUGUGUUAGAUCAGGGUCAGCUUUCACCUAAACCACUCUGACAGCACAAGACGAUGUGCUUCAGCCUCUCCUGUGUCCUGCUGCAGAUGCAUAAAGAACGUUACUUUGGAGACAAAGGAGAACCAAUAGAGAAGAUCCCAUAGGUCUUAGGUGGCCGUCUGUGAGUUUCACUCCUCAUCUAGCCCUUUCUGUGAUGAAGAAUGAUAAGAAAGCAAACAAUGAGAGUCAGAUUAGUGAC